UACGGGGGGGGCAAGCGUUGUUCGGAAUUACUGGGCGUAAAGGGCUCGUAGGCGGCCAACUAAGUCAGACGUGAAAUCCCUCGGCUUAACCGGGAACUGCGUCUGAUACUGGAUGGCUCGAGUUUGGGAGAGGGAUGCGGAAUUCCAGGUGUAGCGGUGAAAUGACGUAGAUAUCUGGAGGAACACCGGUGGCCGAAGGCGGCAUCCUGGACCAACACUGACGCUGAUGAGCGAAAGCCAGGGGAGCAAA
rnacentral:rRNA from 1 species